rnacentral:rRNA from 1 species
AGUCGGCCUGCGCGGAAGAUGUAACGGGGCUAAGUAGUAAACCGAAGCUGCGGCAAUAUACUUUUGUAUAUUGGGUAGGGGAGCGUUCUGUAAGCGGUUGAAGGUGUGUGGUAACGCAUGCUGGACGUAUCAGAAGUGCGAAUGCUGACAUGAGUAACGAUAAAGGGGGUGAAAAACCUCCUCGCCGGAAGACCAAGGGUUCCUGUCCAACGUUAAUCGGGGCAGGGUAAGUCGACCCCUAAGGCGAGGCCGAAAGGCGUAGUCGAUGGGAAACGGGUUAAUAUUCCCGUACUUCUUACAAUUGCGAUGGGGGGACGGAGAAGGCUAGGUGGGCCUGGCGACGGUUGUCCAGGUUCAAGUGCGUAGGCUUAAGAGUUAGGUAAAUCCGGCUCUUUUUAAGGCUGAGACACGACGUCGAGCACCUACGGGUGUGAAGUCAUUGAUGCCAUGCUUCCAGGAAAAGCCUCUAAGCUUCAGAUUGUAAGGAAUCGUACCCCAAACCGACACAGGUGGUCGGGUAGAGAAUACCAAGGCGCUUGAGAGAACUCGGGUGAAGGAACUAGGCAAAAUGGUACCGUAACUUCGGGAGAAGGUACGCUCUUGAUGGUGAAGUCCCUUGCGGAUGGAGCUGACGAGAGUCGCAGAUACCAGGUGGCUGCAACUGUUUAUUAAAAACACAGCACUGUGCAAAAUCGUAAGAUGACGUAUACGGUGUGACGCCUGCCCGGUGCCGGAAGGUUAAUUGAUGGGGUUAGACUUCGGUCGAAGCUCUUGAUCGAAGCCCCGGUAAACGGCGGCCGUAACUAUAACGGUCCUAAGGUAGCGAAAUUCCUUGUCGGGUAAGUUCCGACCUGCACGAAUGGCGUAAUGAUGGCCACGCUGUCUCCACCCGAGACUCAGUGAAAUUGAAAUCGCUGUGAAGAUGCAGUGUACCCGCGGCUAGACGGAAAGACCCCGUGAACCUUUACUACAGCUUGGCACUGAACAUUGACCCUACAUG